rnacentral:lncRNA from 1 species
ACACCGAAACAGCAAACCAGAGUCUGUUUAUAAAACAAGACUCUCUUAUUCUUAUUAAAUCGAUCUUUAGAACCUUCACUAUCACCCACCCAAAGUUUCUUCCAGACAAACGAGACGAUCAACACCAGUAACAAGGCUAAGUGUAAUGAACCAGAAAACCCGCGUAGGAAAAUGGGUUUGAAGAAGAAAUCAGUUCCUGAAUACAUUAGUGAGGAAGAGUUGGAAAGAAAAGCUAAUAUACCCUGCCUCAGAGAAUCAGCAAGUUCCAUUGUUAUAAGGUUUUUCUCAAGGUUUUGACAUGGUUGUUCAGACUGUCAGAGAAGUUUGUUUUAAAGUUAUUGGAACAUGGAAUACUUGAACUGUCGCGGAUGCUACCUCUGGC